AAGAGAUAUGACUCAAAUAUCGCAAGUGUAAAAUGGACAUUUAGGAGUUUUUGCUGACUUGAUAAAAAUAUUCAUACGAGUAAACAAAGGACUGGCACGCCUACAUAAUGUUGAGACGAGUGAUUAAUAUGGUUUGGUUAAUUAGGUGUAUUAUGAAUGAAAGAAGUACUGAAAGUGAAAUAGAGAAGCAACUGAAAUUCACAGCUUUCUCUUUAAGAACGAACGAAAAAAUGACAAAAAAGCUAAAAGAAACAUAUAAGUGCAGCAGAAAGCUGUCCAUCCCUAAAAUUACGGGUAAAGAAUAUUAAGGAAAAGGGGAUCUAGGCGUUCUCUCUCGACUAGCAGUAAACGAAAGUCUGUCUGCGAGAACAUGGCUUGAAGUGGUACGUAUCGGGGGUCCAUGCCACUUAGAGGGACUGCUCAUUUCUAAAUCAUCAGAAAAAUCUGCUAUAUCCUCAUAACUUCCAUUUGCAGACAUAAUGUACGGAGCCUUGCGACGUUGCAAGCGCAGAAGGAAUUUUUUGAAACGUUGGCGCCUUUUCGGAUCAUACCCGAACAAAACCAAAGAGAACAGAAAGAAUAAGCAGAAAAUAAAUGAAAG